UUUCUCUUCUCUGUAUUCUCACUGCUCUCUUCUCUUGUCUUUCUCUCUUCUCUUCAGAUCUAUGAACCAUAACCCAUGUUGCACCCACGAACCCUAAAUCCUUCCCAAACAGAAACCCAAAGUUUCUCAACACUCCCCAAGACCUAGCCCCCUGGCCUGAGUCAACUUGGAGUGAUCUGGUGGUGCUACAGCAAAUGGAGAUCCCAAGGGAAAAAUGGUUUUGUUCGAUUCCAAAAAAAAAAAAUGCUCAGACCAGAUAAGUUCGCUUGACUUCUAAAAUUUUUUUUGUUUUCUUCUAUUUUCAUUUUAUGUUUGUUUUUGGUUGUGAAAAUAGUGGUGAUGUGUGUGAUGUGAAUGGGGAUGCAUGUUGAUGAUGGCUUUGGUUUUAGGGUUUUGGUUGUAUAUGCGAGGGUGGAGACGAGUUACCCUUGUCUUGGUCGAGGUGAGUUAGUGGGUGAGUGAAACUGGGGUUGACUCGUGUGAGUCAACCUGGGGUGAGUGGAGCGAGUUAAGCCACGGUUGACUCGUACGGGUCAACCCAAAUGGGUUUUGUGAACCCGGGUUACCCCGAGUGAGCCACGUGGGCUCUGUCACAUGCUUGAGUCAUAUGUGGGUUUCAAGUGGAUUCGGCCUAGGUUUGAGUUUUUUUAAAACAUGGUCGGCCCACUUCUUUUUAGAAACAAGCCCCGGGUCUUCCAAAAAUAGGGCCAGCCACUUCUUUUUUAAAACAAGGCCCGGUUCUUUUAAAACAGGGUCCGCACACCUUUUUUUUUCUUUUUUUAUAAUAAGGCCCGGGUUUUUUAAAACAAAGCUGGCCCACUCCUUUUUAGAAAUAGGGCCCGGGUUUUUUAAAACAAAGCUGGCCCACUCCUUUUUAGAAAUAGGGCCCGGGUCUUUUUAAAAUAGGGCCGGCCCACCCUAUUUUUUAAAGUAGGGCCCGGGUUUUUUAAAACAGGGCCGACCCACCCUUUGUUUUUUUAAAAAAAAUAUGGGGCUUAGGUUUAUUAAAAUAGGGUCAGCACACUUCUUUUUAUAACUGAGCCUAGGUAUUUUUAGAACGGGCCCAUGGGUUUUAAACAUAAAUUGGGUCAAGGGUUCCGAAAUAGGCUUUGAUAUCUCAAGUUGGAAUUAAGCUCCCGGAAUAGGCUUCGAACCCGAACCCCAAUUCGGGUCACAUGGUUUGGGCUUGAAGGGUUUGGCCUCGGGUUAGGGUCCAGUGUUCGAGUCUGAACUUAAGAGGCCUGAGCUCGGGUUAGAGAAUAAACUCGAGACUUGAGGGAGGUAUCCUGCUCCUACAAUUUACUUUUAAUUUACGAACGCAUGCUCAUUAUGAGGAAAAGGGAAGCCAAAUUUACCUCAAAACUUUAACUCCUCCGAACUUGGCUUCCUAUGAUUGUCUGGAUGUCUAUUUUGAAGCUCUAAGCUUUCUGUAAUCCACUCCCCGACUCUAGUCCUCCUUCUGGCUCCUCUGGUUCUUAGGUUCUGCUUCUCUGGUUCUGUCCUCUAGGCCUCGGUGAUUCUCUAUUCCCCACACUGUUUAGUGUAAAACUCCCUUUUGCUCUCAAUUUAGCAGUUCCCACCCCUCUCUAACUUUCUCUCUCUCCCAAUUCUCACAGGGUUUCUGUAUGCCUUCUCUCUCUCAAUUUUUGCGGAGUAAUUAUGUGCUCUCUGAGGUGUCUUUCUACAGUUCUGGGACUCCCUAUUUAUAGGGAGUCUAAGAUGGCCUUCAGCACCAAUUCCCUCAGCAAUUCCCCUUUAAUGGUGAAAGUCUAGGUGGCAAUUUGGGACUUGCGAGCUUUUUGAGGGCUCCUAGGUGGCAAUCUGGGAGUGGAGGGUUUAGAAUCAACUUUGGCCUUUUGUAUUUUGCAUUUUUUAUUUGUCAUUUAUUUUUUUUGUAUUUUCCUUUCUUCUGCUAACGCGUUUUAUUCUUUCCCUCUUUACGCAGGUGCACUAGGUAAUCCAGAUGGCAGUACAGGACUUGCGGGCUUGGCAUCUUCUUUGCUUUUUUUUGGUUUUCUGUAUUUUUUUUUUUCAUUUCCUUUUAUUUUGUGUGCUGGUGUAUGUACCCCCAUGUUUCCUUUCCUGCAACAUUUCUUUGUACCAGUCCCUGUAUUUGCGCAUUUUAUUUCCCAUUCCUUGUAUUUUUUUUUCCUGCUGUAUAUUUUAUGCAUGUAUGUAUUUGCAUCAUACUUGGGGCACGUGCUCUUCUUAAAAUAUAUCAUUGUGUUUGACCCUUU